GUGCUUGUUUCAGCAUCACAAAUACCCAGACUGGAGUGAUACAGAAAAGAUCAGCAUGACCUCUAUACAAGGAUGACGUGUAAAUUCAUGAAGGGUUCAUGUUUUUA
ensembl:snRNA U6 U6 spliceosomal RNA